rnacentral:miRNA from 1 species
AUUGGGUUGACCAAAAAGUUUGGGGUUUCCUAUAAAAUGGAGAAAAACCCGAACGAACUUUGUGGCCAACCCAAUA